rnacentral:lncRNA from 10 species
CAAAUAAACUUUUUUAUUAAACAUUGGGUAGAAUUUUAUAUGUAUGAUUAUAAUUUAAUAUACUGCAUCAUAUAUACAUACGUAAGAUGCAAUAUAUCAAGUUGAUAUAAGCAGAGCUUAUCUGCCUGAAUUCAUUGUGGAGAUCAUGGUAUCCUAGAUCCUCAACUUCCAAUGAUAUCUGUUUACUCUUCAUUAGCCACCACUGUAAAAGAAACAAGAUUUAUUAACCACUUGAUGGCUUUCUAUUCUAGAAUAUAGUGACUGCAUUAUCGAAAUGCAUAUGGCAUGUCAUUUGGGAGAAUAACCUGGUAUAGAAGACAGUGUCCAAUACUCAGAUCAAAAGAAAUGAAUUUGCUUCCUGAUUGUGUCAAAAAUCAGUGGUAAUCUGUUAGCAAUUCACUUAAACUCUUUUAAGGCUUAAUGUAGUCAUACAACUAUGAAUGCAUUAUCAAGCGGAGUUCACAUCAUUUUCAGAAUUGUUGUUAUAUUAUUUUAUGAACCUCUGUGUUUUGAUUAUAUAGUUGGUAGCUAGCUGCUGCACUAAACUGUGAGAAAGAAAAUGACACCUAACAUCCUGAACUAGGUAAGGUUAUGUGUUACUACAAGCUGACUUGAUGCUCCCAGCUAGAGAACACUGUUCUCCUGGUGAACAUAAACAAUCUCACAGAGCAUAACAACAUCAGGUCACGUUGAAGGGAUGAUAAAGUGAGAUAAAACAAGGUCACCAUGUACCCCAUGAAGUACUCGAACAUCCUCCUCUCUCUGCUAAAAUGAAUUAUGGCUGCUUCUUUACCUAGUCUAUCCUUCCUGUAGAUAAGAUUUGUUGAGGUUCUCAAUUAUGAACUUGUCUGUCUUCCUGACAGCAUCCAAUCAUGAUCAAAGCCUGAAUCCUUGGACCCUCCCCUGAAUUACCGGACCAAAGCUCAAAUCCUGUAAUAGGUCUUUCUCUUACUGAGAGAGGCACUAUGGCUUUCUUUGCUGUGUGUUUUCCUUUCAUGCAAAGAGUCAUAAAUUCAACUUGUUCAACUAUCACUGUGUUCUUGGUGGCCUUUGUCUGGAGAUAUUUGACAACUGAAAUUUGUUCAAUUUAAGUAAUGCUGAUGCUUUGCAAUGAAUGCUAUUUGAAAUCUGUAUUAGCAGUUAUAUAACUUCUGCUCUAGCACUCUAUGUAUUUACUUCUAAAAUUAAUAAAAUUCUGACAUAAUAUUAUAAUACCAUAUCAGUAAUAAAUAUUUGGGAUAUAGUAAUGGUAUAUUACCACUGUUCUUAGGAGAUGCCUGCUGAAGUAUUUGGGGACAAGGAGUCUUGAUGACUGCAACUUUAAUUUUAAAACAUGCAAAGAAAGAGAGAGAGAGAGAGAGAGUAUGUACCAGAAUAUAUUGUAUAAUUCUUUCAAAUUUUCUGUAUCUUUAAACUUUUUUACAAAUUGAAAUUAAAAACCUAUAUAAAGCACUUCAUUACAUCCCACUAUUUAAUAGUAAAUGUGCUUCAGACACUUUGUUCAGGUUAACACGAAAAGCACAAGCAGUGUCAGGAUGCAGUCAAUACAGAACAAUAACAACAAGAAAACCACAAUCAUUGAAUGUCUUCCUUUUAAGCUGUCGUGAUAUUUUAUAAAACUGUGUGUAUAGAUCCGUGUUUAAAAUUAUCCUCACAUUUUGCUUUCCCUUGUUUCUUCCUCCUUCAUUAUUUGUCUUAAGUAGUUUUUUCACCUUGGUGAAAUAGUUUUUUCCCCCCAUCAAUUCUGUUAUAUUCAUGUAAAUUAAAAUUCAGUUUUUUUUUCCU